GUGGGUCUAGCUCAAUGGUAGAGCACAGGCUUAACAUUCAUGAGGUCCUGGGUUCAAUCCCCAGGACCUCUG
rnacentral:tRNA from 1 species